rnacentral:rRNA from 1 species
UACGUAGGGUGCAAGCGUUUAAUCGGAAUUACUGGGCGUAAAGGGUGCGCAGGUGGCCGCGCAAGUUCGAUGUGAAAGCCCCGGGCUUAACCCGGGAAUGGCAUUGAAAACUGCGUGGCUGGAGGAUCGGAGGGGGGACUGGAAUUCUUGGUGUAGCAGUGAAAUGCGUAGAUAUCAAGAGGAACACCAGUGGCGAAGGCGGCCCACUGGAUCGGUACUGACGCUGAGGUGCGAAAGCGUGGGGAGCAAACAGG